AACGAACGCUGGCGGCAUGCCUAACACAUGCAAGUCGAACGAGACCUUCGGGUCUAGUGGCGCACGGGUGCGUAACGCGUGGGAACCUGCCCCUAGGUUCGGAAUAACUCCCCGAAAGGGGUGCUAAUACCGGAUAAUGUCUUCGGACCAAAGAUUUAUCGCCUUUGGAUGGGCCCGCGUUGGAUUAGCUAGUUGGUAGGGUAAAAGCCUACCAAGGCGACGAUCCAUAGCUGGUCUGAGAGGAUGAUCAGCCACACUGGGACUGAGACACGGCCCAGACUCCUACGGGAGGGAGCAGUGGGGAAUAUUGGACAAUGGGCGAAAGCCUGAUCCAGCAAUGCCGCGUGAGUGAUGAAGGCCUUAGGGUUGUAAAGCUCUUUUACCCGGGAUGAUAAUGACAGUACCGGGAGAAUAAGCUCCGGCUAACUCCGUG
rnacentral:rRNA from 1 species